GACAGCGGGUUUCAGGGGGUGCGGCGGGGACCCCGAGUUUAGGGGGAGCGGUUGGCGACACCAGCGAGCCUCCUAACUCAUCCUAACUCCCAUGGCGCUCAGCCGGCUCGCCCUCUUUUGAAAAAAAGGGCGGGUAGCGGUGGUGGGGAGAGACGUGGAAGGGAGAAGGGCACGGAGUCAAGUUUAAUUUUAAAAACUCAGUCGAUGGGCUUCAUAUCAGGGAUUCCCUGUGUCGCAUAAGGGAUGUAACGGGAGGGCCUGCAGGGACCCGGAUCUUCUGAAUCUGUGACUUCUCCAGGCGUCAGCAUCUGCUGCAUUCGUUUGGACGAGGAAGAGGAGGGCCAUCUGGGUGCCUAGGGAGUCUGUGGCCGGUUUCUGAACUGUAAGUUGUUGCAGGUGAACAUGGCCUUGAGGUAAAUCCUGCCCCUUGUUGAAGUCUAGUCUCAGCAGAUUAUUCCUGGCUAACACGGAAUUGGAAUAUUUUACAAGAAACUAAAGUUUUUUUUUCUUCUGUCCUAGACUUAAUUUUCCUUCUUGUAGAAGAUGAGAAACAGUUUAAACAAAUAUUUUUUGUGGUAAAAUAAUUAUGAUGCUUAAAUUAAAUGGAUUUUAAGUGUCAAAGCCACUUGUAGAUGGUUUUAUUCUUGGUCAAAUAAAAUUUUACAAAAUUCU